rnacentral:rRNA from 1 species
GUGCCAGCAGCCGCGGUAAGACAUAGGUGGCGAACGUUAUCCGGAUUUAUUGGGCGUAAAGGAUGCGUAGAUGGUGGAAUAAGUUGUUGGUCGAAAUCGAGCUCAACUUGAUGGAGGCUAGCAAUACUGUUCUACUGGAGGGCAGAAGAGGUUAGCGGAACUUACACAAGUAGGGGUGAAAUCCAAUGAUCUGUGAGGGACCACCAAAAAAGGCGAAGGCAGCUAACUAUUCUGUUCCUGACAUUGAGGCAUGAAAGCGUGGGGAGCAAAACGGAUUAGAAACCCCUGUAGUCC